UUAGAUUAGAUAGGAUAUGUUUAUUUUGAAAAUAAACUGAUUAGUGUUCGAUUCACUUACUAAUUUGUU
rnacentral:tRNA from 1 species